rnacentral:tmRNA from 2 species
CGCCUUCAAAAAGUCGACGGAAGCGCUUAUAUAGAGCCUGUCGGGUAACCGACUAUGGCGAUAAACGCCGCGUGGAAUAAGCGUUUCGGACCCGGGGGCAGUACCCGGCGCCUCCACCAUUCUCCUCCCUCCGUCGGGGUUACCCGCCGGGCGGAGCCAAUGGGGGCGAACCAGGAUCGACGAGCGUGGUAAAGGCGCGGUUUUUGCUCGGUAUGGUUCCGCCGUGACGGGCCAUUCACAAGUGCUAACGAUAACACCGUUACACUCGCUGCUGCCGCCUAAACAGCGGACGUAAGCGCGGUUCGGGGGGCACCGGGCAACAGAAGCCCCCCACU